rnacentral:lncRNA from 13 species
AAAGCCCUUCUUGUAUGGAAUGUUUAUCUAGUGAGGGAAUAGAUAAUAAGCAUCUAAAAAGUAAAUAUAUCAUAUGAAAAAAUAAGACUUCAUUUGAGAAAAUGUCAUGUCCUUGUCUAAUGAAGACUGUAGGUGUCAUAACUGGCCAUGUUUCUCUCUUUGCCUCUUCCUUAUAGGAAGCUCAGACAUGUAUUUGCUUCCCAAGCACAGCCCUUGUGGUAUCUGCAUCUACAUAUUGAUGGUGAUAAUGCUAAGGAGAAAAAUACAGCAAGUGAAGGAAGAAAAGUCUUGCCUUGUAACAACCCAAAGACGGCUGUCAUAUUUCCAUCUUACAGCUGGGGAAACAGACCCAAAGAGAGCCUUCUGGAUUUCCACUGAAAGCACUGGGGAUACCAUUAUGCAUUAUUUUUCUUCUGUGAAGACAAAAGAUAGCAGAGCCAACUGGAAACCAGCUCACUUACAUUUACAUCUUGGCACGGCCCAGACCGUGGGAAAAGCCACCGAGGGGAUGGAACGUUCAGAUGCAAACUUCCUCCUUGGCAAAGGAGACGACAGCAGCUCCAGAGCUGCUGGCAACACACAAUCAAAAGGUGACACGGAAGUCCAAGUCCAACAGCCAAGUUAGAAGGCGAGGUGGAAGUCCAGCUCGGCAAAUGAAGCCACCGCAUUGCAUUUCAACUCUUUGUCAUGUACUGUUGAUGGACCUGGGUUGGGUUUGAAAACCUGGCCAGAGGCAGAGAAGUUAUAGGUGGGAGAGACAGAAAAUCAUCUUAAUUUAAAUUGAAAAAAAAUCACCUUGACUGGUGGUUCACGCCUAUAAUCGCAGCACUUUGGGAGGCUGAGGUAGGUGGAUCACUUGAGGUCAGGAGUUCAAGACCAGCCUGGACAACAUGGUGAAACCCCAUGUCUACUAAAAAUACAAAAAUUAUCCAGGCAUGUGGGUGGGCGCUUGCAAUCCUAGGUACUCAGGAGACUGAGGAAGGAAAAUCGCUUGAACCCGGGAGGUGGAGGUGGCAGUGAGCCGAGAUCAUGCCACUGCACUCCAGCCUGGGUGACAGAGUGAGUCUCCCAAAAAAAAAAAAAAAAUUAAAAAAAAAAACACCUUAGUGCCUGCGUGUUGAUGCCCCUCCUUGGAGUCUGAAUUAAUUUGUAUUUUUCAGAAGUGCUGCAUUUGUCUAACACUUCUGAGAAAUGCAAACCAAUUCAGAGACCCCUUCCUGGGCUCCCCUUCUUCACUUUGCCUUAUCCCUUUCUCCUCUGCUCAGCCCCCUGGAAGAGCCAGAAACUGAGGGCAGGGGCUGGGCAGAGGAGCCAGGCUUGAAGAAUUCAUUUCCUCCUUCUGCACUUCAACGUGGGGGAAAGCAUUACCCGUCAUUCCCACCCAAGGUCAAGUUGAAACUCAAAGAUGUGGGCUCGACUUCUGCCCUAAUCAGCUUUAAGAUUCUCUCGAAAUCAAAUUGUGACAGAGGUAAGUAGGAGAAGAAACAACCCAAAGUUCUUCUUAGGAAGUUGGGAAAAUGGUCACUCCUUCAUUCAUUUAUUCUACAAAUGUUUACUGAGCGUCUACUAUGCAUCAGGAGUUUGGGAUACAUCAAUGACCAAAGCAAC